CACCGGCAGCUCUAGUGGUAGCUGUUUUUAUUGGGCCUAAAGCGUUCGUAGCCGGUUUAAUAAGUCUCUGGUGAAAUCCUAUAGCUUAACUGUGGGAAUUGCUGGAGAUACUAUUAGACUUGAGAUCGGGAGAGGUUAGAGGUACUCCUGGGGUAGGGGUGAAAUCCUGUAAUCCUAGGAGGACCACCUGUGGCGAAGGCGUCUGACUAGAACGAAUCUGACGGUGAGGAACGAAAGCUAGGGGC
rnacentral:rRNA from 1 species